AUUGAACGCUGGCGGCAGGCCUAACACAUGCAAGUCGAACGAGUGGCGGACGGGUGAGUAAUGUCUGGGAAACUGCCCGAUGGAGGGGGAUAACUACUGGAAACGGUAGCUAAUACCGCAUACCAUCGGAUGUGCCCAGGUGGGAUUAGCUAGUAGGGGGGGUAACGGCUCACCUAGGCGACGAUCCCUAGCGGGUCUGAGAGGAUGACCAGCCCCACUUGAACUGAGACACGGUCCAGACUCCUACGGGAGUCAGCAGUGGGGAAUAUUGCACAAUGGGCGCAAGCCUGAUGCAUCCAGGCCGCUUGUAUGAAUAAGCCCUUCGGGUUGUAAAGUACUUUCAGCGAGGAGGCGUUACUCGCAGAAGAAGCACCGGCUAACUCCGUGCCAGCAGCCGCGGUAAUUC
rnacentral:rRNA from 1 species